UGCCAGCCGCCGCGGUAAUACGAAGGGUCCAAGCGUUAUCCGGAAUCAUUGGGUCUAAAGGGUGCGCAGGCGGUUUAUUAAGUCAGUGGUGAAAUCUCGGGGCUCAACCCCGAAACUGCCAUUGAUACUGAUAAACUUGAGUUCAGUUGGAGUAGGCGGAAUGUGUAGUGUAGCGGUGAAAUGCUUAGAUAUUACACAGAACACCGAUAGCGAGGGCAGCUUACUAAGCUACGAUUGACGCUGAGGCACGAAAGCGUGGGGAGCGAACAGGAUUAGAUA
rnacentral:rRNA from 1 species